rnacentral:rRNA from 1 species
CUGGGAACUGCAUUCAAAACUGUCGAGCUAGAGUAUGGUAGAGGGUGGUGGAAUUUCCUGUGUAGCGGUGAAAUGCGUANAUAUAGGAAGGAACACCAGUGGCGAAGGCGACCACCUGGACUGAUACUGACACUGAGGUGCGAAAGCGUGGGGAGCAAACAGGAUUAUAUACCCUGGUA